rnacentral:rRNA from 1 species
UACGGGGGGAGCAAGCGUUGUUCGGAUUUACUGGGCGUAAAGGGCGCGUAGGCGGUCGUGACAAGUCACUUGUGAAAUCUCCGGGCUUAACUCGGAACGGUCAAGUGAUACUGUCGUGCUAGAGUACAGAAGGGGCAACUGGAAUUCUCGGUGUAGCGGUGAAAUGCGUAGAUAUCAGGAGGAACACCUAUAGCGAAGGCAGCUUGCUGGGACGUUACUGACGCUAAGGCGCGAAAGCGUGGGGAGCGAACAGG